UUACUGGGCGUAAAGGGUGCGUAGGCGGACCGAUUAGUCGGAUGUGAAACCCCACAGCUUAACUGUGGGCCGCCAUUCGAAACUGUCGGUCUUGAGUGCAGGAGAGGAGAGUGGAAUUCCUGGUGUAGCGGUGAAAUGCGUAGAUAUCAGGAGGAACACCGGUGGCGAAGGCGGCUCUCUGGACUGACACUGACGCUGAGGCACGAAGGCCGGGGGAGCAAACAGGAUUAGAUACCCUGGUAGUCCCGGCGGUAAACGAUGGGCACUAGGUGUCGGGGGUAUCGACCCCCUCGGUGCCGCAGUUAACACAUUAAGUGCCCCGCCUGGGGAGUACGGCCGCAAGGUUGAAACUCAAAGGAAUUGACGGGGGCCCGCACAAGCGGUGGAGUAUGUGGUUUAAUUCGACGCAACGCGAAGAACCUUACCAGGGCUUGACAUCCUCGGAACCCUGUAGAAAUACGGGGGUGCCUUCGGGAACCGAGUGACAGGUGCUGCAUGGUUGUCGUCAGCUCGUGUCGUGAGAUGUACGGUUAAGUCCGGAAACGAGCGCAACCCUUAUUCUGUGUUGCAAUUUCACAGAAGACUGCCAUCUUUAAGAUGGAGGAAGGUGGGGAUGACGUCAAAUCAGCAUGGCUCUUACGCCCUGGGCGACACACGUGCUACAAUGGCCAGUACAGAGGGUUGCCAAACCGAAAGGUGGAGCUAAUCUUGCAAAUCUGGUCCAAGUUCGGAUUGAGGUCUGCAAUUCGACCUCAUGAAGUCGGAAUCGCUAGUAACCGU
rnacentral:rRNA from 1 species